rnacentral:rRNA from 1 species
GUGGGGAAUAUUGGACAAUGGGCGAAAGCCUGAUCCAGCCAUGCCGCGUGUGUGAAGAAGGUCUUCGGAUUGUAAAGCACUUUAAGUUGGGAGGAAGGGCAGUAAGUUAAUACCUUGCUGUUUUGACGUUACCGACAGAAUAAGCACCGGCUAACUUCGUGCCAGCAGCCGCGGUAAUACGAAGGGUGCAAGCGUUAAUCGGAAUUACUGGGCGUAAAGCGCGCGUAGGUGGUUUUGUAAGUUGGAGGUGAAAUCCCCGGGCUCAACCUGGGAACUGCCUCAAAAACUGCAUGACUAGAGUACGGUAGAGGGUAGUGGAAUUUCCUGUGUAGCGGUGAAAUGCGUAGAUAUAGGAAGGAACACCAGUGGCGAAGGCGACUACCUGGACUGAUACUGACACUGAGGUGCGAAAGCGUGGGGAGCAAACAGGAUUAGAUACCCCUGUAGUCC